GAUCCGAAAACGAAUUGAUCGGGUUUGGUUUUGUUCACUUAUUAAUACUUCUUAUUUUAUUAAUUCCUAGUGUUAUUAAGCCAUAAUUAUCUGAUUCUCUAGUGAGGAGUAGGAUAAACUAGAACUAUCAUUGUUCAGUAAAAGGAUAAUGAUUUGAUAAUUGAUCUCUAGAACUGGGAUGAAUCUCCACUGUUGUUUUGGUGAUUGUUGUGCUUUAUGUGUAAUUUUGGAAAUCUAUGGAACAAUUGUGGAGAUUCAUCCCAGUUCUAGAGAUCAAUUAUCUAUCGAAUAAUGAAUAUAAUCAACAAUGAUAGUUCUAGUUUAUCCUACUCCUCACUAGAGAAUCAGAUAAUUAUGGCCUAAUAACACUAGGAAUUAAUAAAAUAAGAAGUAUUAAUAAGUGAACAAAACCAAACCCGAUCAAUUCGUUUUCGGAUC
rnacentral:misc_RNA from 1 species